GAUGAACGCUGGCGGCGUGCCUAACACAUGCAAGUCGAGCGAUCUUCUUCGGAAGAGAGCGGCGGACGGGUGAGUAACGCGUGGGUAACCUGCCCUGUACACACGGAUAACAUACCGAAAGGUAUGCUAAUACGGGAUAACAUACUUUUAUCGCAUGGUAGAAGUAUUAAAGCUCCGGCGGUACAGGAUGGACCCGCGUCUGAUUAGCUAGUUGGUAAGGUAACGGCUUACCAAGGCGACGAUCAGUAGCCGACCUGAGAGGGUGAUCGGCCACAUUGGAACUGAGACACGGUCCAAACUCCUACGGGAGGCAGCAGUGGGGAAUAUUGCACAAUGGGCGAAAGCCUGAUGCAGCAACGCCGCGUGAGCGAUGAAGGCCUUCGGGUCGUAAAGCUCUGUCCUCAAGGAAGAUAAUGACGGUACUUGAGGAGGAAGCCCCGGCUAACUACGUGCCAGCAGCCGCCGUAAAAC
rnacentral:rRNA from 1 species